rnacentral:rRNA from 1 species
AACAGCUGGCGGCGUGCUUAACACAUGCAAGUCAGGGGGCUCAGCAAUGGGCAACCGGCGAACGGGUGCGUAACACGUGAGCAACCUGCCUUUGUGUGGGGGAUAGCCGGCCCAACGGCCGGGUAAUACCGCAUACGAUUCUUUGGGGGAGUCCCCAGGGNAAGGAAACCUCCGGGGCACAAAGAGGGGCUCGCGGCCUAUCAGCUAGUUGGCGGGGUAAUGGCCCACCAAGGCGACGACGGGUAGCUGGUCUGAGAGGAUGGCCAGCCACAUUGGGACUGAGAGACGGCCCAGACUCCUACGGGAGGCAGCAGUGGGGAAUCUUGCGCAAUGGCCGAAAGGCUGACGCAGCGACGCCGCGUGUGGGAUGACGCCUUUCGGGGUGUAAACCACUGUUGCCCGGGACGAACCUGGUCUUUCGAGACCACUGACGGUACCGGGUGAGGAAGCACCGGCUAACUCCGUGCCAGCAGCCGCGGUAAUACGGAGGGUGCGAGCGUUGUCCGGAAUCACUGGGCGUAAAGGGCGCGUAGGUGGCUGGGGAAGUCGGCGGUGAAAGCCCGGAGCUCAACUCCGGGUCGGCCGUCGAGACUCCUCGGCUCGAGCUCACUAGAGGCAGAUGGAAUUCCGGGUGUAGCGGUGGAAUGCGUAGAGAUCCGGAAGAACACCGGUGGCGAAGGCGGUCUGCUGGGGUGAGGCUGACACUGAUGCGCGACAGCGUGGGGAG